rnacentral:rRNA from 1 species
AUUGAACGCUGGCGGCAUGCCUAACACAUGCAAGUCGAGCGGUUGAGGGUCGCUUGCUCCUGGAUUCAGCGGCGGACGGGUGGGUCAUUCCUGGGAAUCUGCUUGGUAUUGGGGGAUAGCGUCCGGAAACGGGCGCUAUUACCGCAUACGUCCUGAGGGAGAAAGUGGGGGUUCUUCGGACCUCGCGCUAUCAGCUGAGCCUAGGUCGGAUUCGCUAGUGGGUGGGGUAAAGGCCUACCAAGGCGACGAUCCGUACCUGGUCUGAGAGGAUGAUCAGUCACACUGGAACGGGGACACGGUCCAGACUCCUAGGGGAGGAAGCAGUGGGGAAUAUUGGACAAUGGGCGAAAGCCUGAUCCAGCCAUGCCGCGGGUGGGAAGAAGGUCUUCGGAUUGUAAAGCACUUUAAGUGGGGAGAAAGGGCAGUAAGUUAAUACCUUGCUGUUUUGACGUUACCAACAGAAUAAGCACCGGCUAACUACGUG